GGGAGGAUCGCUUGAGCCUGGGAGGUCGAGGCUGCCAUGAGCAGUGACUGCGCCAAUGCACUCCAUCCAGCCUAGGCAAUAGUAGUAUCUUGUCUCAAAAGAAAAAAAAAAAAGAAAAUUGUCUAUUUCUAAAAACCUGUAUUUAAACCUCAUCAUUUCCCCUCAAACAAGUAGCUUGUAUAAAAUUACUCAUAACAUGAACAUGCUAAAGAAAUUCUUUUGAAUGAUGAAAAGUUACUUUGUACAUUAUAUUAAAAUUUAUUUUCUAUGUAUACCCAAAUUUUCAAGUAUUAGAUUUACUUAGAAAUUCACCAGUGUUAUCAUUAUACAAUUGGCUGGAAUUAACAGUUGCAAUACAGUUAUUCUAGCUUUUCAUAUUCAAUUUGAAUGAUCAGAAAAGUAUAUUAGUCACACAGAAUUAAAUAUUUUAGAUAGUAAGAAUCUUACACUUUAUUAGAUAAUAAAACAUAAUUGAUAUUUGCUUAAGUAACAAAAAAGUUAAGAAAUUGGGUUAUAAGCAAAGGAACAUAAGUGUAAAAUGUGUAGAAAGAUAAAUAUUUUCCAAAUAAAAUUCUAAUAAAAGGCUAAACAUUCUCAAAUAUUUUACAUACAUGAAGAAUAAAUUAUUUCUGGUUAACAUGUUUUUGCCUUAGUGCCAAAAAAGCCAGAACAAAUUUGAUAAGCUCACAUUAAAAUCAAAGUUUUCUAGAUAUGAAUUCUAUAUACCAUCUCUAUAUUUGUUUAGAAUUUUGCAAAAUUCUUAGAAGAUUGCAUGUUAGGGUGGGGGAAGAUAAAUGCUUGCCAAUACUGACAUGGUUAAUUAACAGACAGGCUUGAAAGGAGAAGGCUAGAAGAGGGAAGAUUAUGUCACUAAGCAUAGCUACAAAAGGAAAAGCCACAUGGAAGCAGAGACAAAGGCAAUCCCGACACACAGAGGCAUGUUUGUUGCGGCUCAGGGUUUCUGUUUUUCAAGUGUUCAGAGACGAAUUCCAGCAAGACUUCUGGUUUGAGUCAAGCCUUUCAACCGAGGUGCUUGGCAUACUUAACGGAAAAAGCGAGUACAUUCAGAUUUAGUUUUGCUAGAUAUUAAACUAGAAAACUGGAUGACAGUAAAACCAAUACAGAAACAAAAAGUCAUGUUUCCAGUAAAGAACCGUACACACAAGCAGGUUUUGCUUAUUAAUGUAGCAGGAGAGCAUGGAAAUCGGAGUUCAGACUCUUUAGAAAAGACAAAAGGCAGGGGAGGGGAGAGAAGAAAAGGAGGAAUGCAGAGAAGCCCUCCAAGAAUGAUGAGUGAUUCGUGCAGGAGAGGGAAAUACAGACGUUCCGUCCAUGUGAGAUUCUGCUUCAGGUAUUGGACAUCGUUCCCUCCACCUGCACCUAGAGGAUAUGUGUUCAGGAUCUCGCUAUGGUUAGUUACCCAUGUGCUAGACAUAGGUUGCUAGCUAGAAGUUUUGCCAGCCAUCUUCCCCCCUCCUAGUGCUAAUGCCUAAUUUCCUAAAGUAAUCUGAAUCCUUAUAAGCCAGGGUAGCUCAGGAGGUUCUAUUUACUUAUUUAUUUAUUUUGAGACAGAGUCUCACUGUGUCGCCCAGGCAGAUCUCGUCUGGGCCCGAGUCUCGUUGCAGUGGUCAGAGAUCACGACAAUGCACUCCAGCCCUGCGACAGUGCGAGACUCCGUCUCAAAAAAAAAAAAAAGGUGAGAAUGUGCUUUUCCAGAAUAACCCCAGUUGUAUCUAGAAUUUGUUUUCAAUAUAAAGGCAGGUAUGAGAAUGUUUUGAACAACAGAAUUAAUCCAUCUAGAUUAGAAUGCUGUGUGGCAUGACCAUUCUCGAAUUUUGAAAGCCUGAGCUGGUUGUGGGCAAGGGGAUAUUCAUUAAUGACAUAAAUUUCAUUUAUGAAAUAUGUAUCCAUCAUCUAGGUAUCUUAUACAUGGAGAGCUGACUGCAUCCCUUGUAUAAAAAGUAAAUGAAGACCGGAAGGAAGCAGACUUUGUCCUGCAAACUGAAGCAAAGUUCCAUGCUAAGAAUCAGCAGGUUUUCUAGGUAGGUAAUGCCACCAGUGGAGGAUUAUUACAGUUCUCAAAUCAUGAGGGAAAGAGAUGGAGAAGAGGGAGGGAGGAGGGAAAAUCUUGCAUUCUAAGAGGUAAGAGUCCCCAUUACAAUUGCAAUGCUUCUUUAGACAGCUGAUUUUUCUGGCUGGAAGGCACAUUAAAAAUAACCCUAACAAUAACUUACCAAGACAAUGGAAAUCAAAAGAAAAGAAGGUAGACGUGCAGCUGUCUUAUUAACAUGACAACCAACUACAGCUGAAACAAUACUAUGGUACAGGGACUAGCUCAUGUUAAAGACUGGUUAUUUAGGUAAAGAGGAUCUGGUGCUCUUGGUUUAGCUUCAGUGAUUUUCCAGCACUUAUUAAAGCCAUUGUGCCCUGAACAUGGAGACCCCCAAAUCCUCUAUGUGCCAAAGAUUAAGUUGUAGAGAAUUACAUCAAUGUUUGCUGUUGGUGUGCACCACAGAUGAGACCAAGCUUCCUGGUCCGGCUAAGUGGAAUCUUCCAUGCACUGUGCACCACUCAGCUAGAAAGUCAACUAAGCAGAAAGGAGAUAAGGAAUGGCUAUGGAAUACCUGACUUCUUUAUCUUGGUUAUGUGUCCACAAUUUUCAUAAAAAUAAAUAAUACACAUUAAGUCAAAAUCUGGGCUCAAAUGUGUAACAAGAAAACAAAAGGACAACAAUCUGGUAUUCCGGUUUUUUUUUUUUUUUUGAGACGGAGUCUCGCUCUGUUGCCCAGGCUGGAGUGCAGUGACGUGAUCUCGGCUCACUACAAGCUCCGCCUCCCAGGUUCACACCUUAGCCUCCCGAGUAGCUGGGACUACAGGCGCCCGCCACCACGCCCGCCUAAUGUUUUAAUUUUUUAGUAGAGACGGGGUUUCACCGUGUUGGCCAGGCUGGUCUCGAACUCCUGACCUCAGGUAAUCCACCUGCCUCAGCCUCCCAAAGUGCUGGAAUUACAGGUGUGAGCCACCGCACCCAGCCAACAAUCUGGUAUUCUUAAGGCAAAACAGUAGAAAUCACUUUAAAUAGACACUUUAUUAGAUCCACAGGCGAUAAAAUCCCAGAGCUACUGUUAGGCACGUAAAUAUAGACCCUGUAAGAAAAAAACAAUUGAGAGUACUAUUAGUUCUAUUAAGAGUUACUUGAGGGAACAUCUUUUUUUAAGAAAACCUAAAAAAGAAAACCUAGAAACUUAGAUUGCUCACUGAUGUCCCAUAUUCCGUGAAACGCCUGCCUACUGAAAAAACAAAUCCCACACCCUUUAUUUUAUUUUCUUAUUUUAGAGACAUGGUCUCAUCUGGUACCCAGGAGGAGUGCACCAUGCAAUGGUAUGAUUACAGCUCACUGUGCCUCAAACUCCCGGGCUCAAGUGACCCUCCUGCCUCAGCCUCCCAAGAAGCUGAAGCUACAGGCAGAUGACACCAUGCCCGGCUAAAUCUUUUUGUAGAGACUAGGUCUCGCUGUGUUGCCUAGGCUAAGAAAACUUUUCAAUAAAAGUUUCGAAUAGCAAAAAUUCUGUGGUCACAAGGUCUAUGUAUAUGCACUAUAGAGACAGGAAGACACAAUUUAAUAUAAAGAACAACAUUUCACUGUUAAAUAAUGCUGUAACCUUAAAAUAUUUAAUUAAUCCAAGACGUUAAAUCUGACUUGAAAUAAUGGUUAAUUUGGGUGGGGGGUGGUACAUGAAUGUUCAUUCUCUCUUUUGGAUCAAAAAUCGCGAAAGUAAAAUAACUCCUUAAAAGGAGUUUAAGCAAUUGAAGCAGAAAGAUUACAACUGAAACACCUUCCAUUUUAUCCAUAAAAUAUUUCCUGUCUUGAAUCUCAUUAAAAUCCCUAAUAACUAUAGUUCAAUUAUAGUAUCUUAUCAAAUUUCCAAUUCUAUCAAUUAUAACGUACACAAUUACUUUAUUUACUACUAAGAAAGAAAAAGUGCCAAUUAAACUAUGAUACUUCAUCUACUGGAAAUUGUAAGAUGCUUUCCAAUUUCAGAGAUGUUAAAAUAUUUCAGAAAGUGUUGGAAUCAAUGAAAUGCAGUAUCUGUCAACGACUUAUUUUAUAAAUUUAUUUUCUUUUCAGGUUGAUUUAAAUAGAUACAAAAUAGCUUACCUGCUAAAUAUUUAAUAUU
rnacentral:lncRNA from 1 species